GCGGUCGGUUCGCUUUACCAUCACUCUGCCAAGUGCUUUGGUCUCAGUGUGUCGCGAACGUCAUCACGCUACGUCCUUCAGAACCUCGUGUGUUGUUUCGAAUAUUUUGUUGCAAAGAUUGAAUCGAAAAAAAUGGACGGUGGAAAGAAGAUCCUAGACCCGACGGGACAAUAUUAAGAUUUUUCGAGGGACAAGCAUAGUAUUAUGGUGGUUGUCACUGCAGGCGGUGGGAAGACGUUAGAUCCAACAGGAUUAUAUUGAUUUUGGCGGAAGUUUGGCGGUUUUUUAUUUCGGAAUAAUUCUGGGAUAAUGGACGGUGGUAAGAAAGUCUUGGACCCAACUGGGCAAUAUUGAAGUGGGGAUGAUGGAUCACGGGAAAGUCCUAGAUCCAACAGGGCAAUACUGAGGGCUCACUCCCUAUGUCCCACGGGAUCCCGCCGAUGGCACCUAGGAAAGACACUUCGAGUCGCACUAGAAGAAAACUGCCAAGUAGAUAACGUCGACAAAAACCGACGAUCGUCCCCUUCUUCCUCAGUCCACACAGCGUGAAAAAUAAUGUUUGCAAAACGUUAUUAAAAAAAUCAAAACAACACUGCCAAAAAGUUACCGCCACCUUUUCAUCUCAUUUUUCGAACAGUUUCUCCCCGGUUAUAAAUAAUAAAGGAAAAAUCGAUAACGUCGUAUCUUGCGCAACAGAAAGAAAAAAGUAAAUAAAUAUAUCAAAAGCGGUGGAAAGCAAAUACCAAGACUGAUUUGUUGAUUAUUUUUUUAAUACUUUUACAAUUAUUUUUAUUGCUAUUAUUAUUAUUUUGAUUAUUUUUUUAUUAUUGUAUUUGAUUGUAAUAAUGAUUGUUAUAACGAUUAACUUAUCGCUUAGACUAAGUUCCUCCGGUUAUCUCGCGUGCGCUUACACGCCCCCUCCUAUCGUGUACCCGCGAAGAAAGAAAAAAGGAUAACAAUUUGGUUAAUAUUCUUAUUAUUUAGGUUUUCCCGCCAACAAUCCCAUUUUUCCAUGUCCAAGUGUAAAAUUAUUUAUCCGUAACCGCUGUAUAUACUAUUAUUAAUUGCUAACGCCCGAGCCCCCCUCGUGUUGUAAAUUCCCCCCUUUUAUCCAGGGAGUUGUCUGUGUUAGAACUCAUUCUUCUAUCCUUUUUGUACAGUUUUGCUACUGGCCUAUGUUUUUUUUUGUAAAAUUAAGAUGUAAAGAGCAGGAAUAUAUUUUUUAAUUUA